rnacentral:snoRNA from 1 species
AUCCAGCGGUUGUCAGCUAUCCAGGCUUGUGUGGUGCCUGUGAUGGUGUUACACUGUUGGAAGAGCAAGCACUGUCUUUAUUGAGGUUUGGCUCCAAGCACUGUUUUGGUGUUGUAGCUGAGAAAAUCUCAAUA